rnacentral:rRNA from 1 species
UACGUAGGGUGCGAGCGUUAAUCGGAAUUACUGGGCGUAAAGGGCGCGUAGGCGGAUAUCUAAGUCGGGGGUGAAAGCCCGGGGCUCAACCUCGGAAUUGCCUUCGAUACUGGAUAUCUUGAGUUCGGGAGAGGUGAGUGGAAUGCCGAGUGUAGAGGUGAAAUUCGUAGAUAUUCGGCGGAACACCAGUGGCGAAGGCGACUCACUGGCCCGAUACUGACGCUGAUGCGCGAAAGCGUGGGGAGCAAACAGG